CAUGAGAAUGGGAACUCUGUUCAGCCCUCCAUCUCUGGACUCUCUGCCAGAAACUGAAAAGUGGUGCUCAAUUCAUGUAUAGAGAACUCAAAUGAAGAUGAAGAUGCUACGUCCAACUUUCUGAAAGACUCAGUAUACAGUCUUUGGCAUGUGGAGUUUUGCUGACAGCAAAGCAUCCUGUUGGUCAAAGCCAGCUAAGAGCCAACAGGCAUGGCCCUAACUCUGCACCAGGAAGAUCAGGGGAAUGGCAGGCAUCAUCUGGACGCAGGCUUCAAAUGUAACAUUAUAUCUUUUUUUAGUUGAAGACACACAGAGUUGGAAAGCUGGCUCAACCAUUAAGAGUGUGUACUGCUCUUGCAGAGGACCUGAAUUCUGUUCCUGAUAACAAUGUAAAGAGACACCCUCCCUCCAAACAGCACUGGUAGCCUGCUUCCCUGCCCCCACCCAGAUGCCUCUGGCCUCCGGGGGCACCUGUACUCUUGUGAACAUAUUCAUACAAUACAAAAGAACAUAUACAUAAGUAAAACAAAACAUCUUUUUAAAAAAAGAAAGAAAAUACAUUUACCUUCCCUAAA